CAAGCUGGGGAGUAUGCAACUGGAAUCUCUAAAAAUUGAAAAGGUUUUAUGGCUGGCCCUUGCACGACAUUAUCACUUACUACAGUUCUAGAUAUGCAUGUGUCAUGCUGUUCCAAUGUCUUCAUACAAGAUCUUUCCUUCCCAAUGUAGCUUUACACAGACACUGAUUUUCAUGAGACCAGAAGCAGAUUUGAAAAAGAAGCAUUGGAGUUGAUUUCCAGUACAUAAGAUCCCCACUUUGGGUGCUUGAAAGCCCUUCUCAGUAGUCCCACUGCUCGGAGGAAGCUGCUCCUAAGAGCAAUUACAAAGCCCCCUAUGAGGGAGAUUCACAGAGAGAGAUGUAGAAAUGAGGAAAAGUGCAUUGCCUAACUCUUAAAUGCUUGGAUAUCACCUGGACCAGUUGUGAAACCGUGGUCUGCACCCCAGAAGCCAUUUAACUACACCUUUCGUGCCGUUUCCAUCCUGGGUUUCACUGUGCUCAUGGUCGUGGCUGCAGGUGCCAAGCCACCACACCUCCUGGGGCCCAUGGUCAGCCACGAUGCUGCUGGUCUGUGCUGUGCUCAUAUCUCCAGAUGUGCACAAGCAGGAUUAAUGCUCAGCUACCCCUGAAAAUCUACUGGGCUUUUGCACCUGAGUUGUUUAUUUGCAACAAUGCAGCUUGAUACAGAGGCAAACAGAUACUGAGCAUGGUGUGGUCCACAAGAAAGAUCAGAGUAGG